rnacentral:rRNA from 1 species
AUUGAACGCUGGCGGCAGGCCUAACACAUGCAAGUCGAGCGAGCGGCGGACGGGUGAGUAAUGUCUGGGAAACUGCCCGAUGGAGGGGGAUAACUACUGGAAACGGUAGCUAAUACCGCAUACCAUCGGAUGUUCCCAUAUGGGAGUCGCUAGUAGGUGGGGUAAUGGCUCACCUAGUCGACGAUCCCUAGCUGGUCUGAGAGGAUGACCAGCACCCCUGGAACUGGGACCCGGUGCAGACUCUUGCGGGCGGCAGCAGUGGGGAAGAUCGGACAAUGGGCGCAAGCCUGAUCCAGCCAUGCCGCUUGUGUGAAGAAGGUCUUCGGAUUGUAAAGCACUUUAAGGUGGGAGGCGUUACCAACAGAAUAAGCACCGGCUAACUUCGUGCCAGCAGCCGCGGUAAUAC